UACGUAGGGACCGAGCGUUGUCCUGAUUCAUUGGGCGUAAAGAGCUCGUAGGCGGCCACUCAAGUCGAAUGUGAAACCUCGAGGCUUAACCUCGAGCCUGCAUUCGAUACUGGGUGGCUAGAGUCUGGUAGGGGGAUCUGGAAUUCCUGGUGUAGCGGUGGAAUGCGCAGAUAUCAGGAGGAACACCGGUGGCGAAGGCGGGAUCCUGGGCCAGUACUGACGCUGAGGAGCGAAAGCGUGGGGAGCAAACAGG
rnacentral:rRNA from 1 species